GAUGAACGCUGGCGGCGUGCCUAAUACAUGCAAGUCGAGCGAACGGACGAGAAGCUUGCUUUUCUGAUGUUAGCGGCGGACGGGUGAGUAACACGUGGAUAACCUACCUAUAAGACUGGGAUAACUUCGGGAAACCGGAGCUAAUACCGGAUAAUAUUUUGAACCGCAUGGUUCAAAAGUGAAAGACGGUCUUGCUGUCACUUAUAGAUGGAUCCGCGCUGCAUUAGAUAGUUGGUAAGGUAACGGCUUACCAAGGCAACGAUGCAUAGCCGACCUGAAAGGGACGUCGACCAGACGGUCUGUGAGGAUCAGCCGACACACCGACAGUGGGCAGCGGUAGAGAAUCCUACGCGAUGGAGGAGAGCCUGACGGAGCGAAACCGCGGGAAUGAUGAAGGACUUCGGAUGGUAGAACGCUGUAAUUAGUAGAGAACAUAUAUGUAUGUAGCUGUGCAGAUCAUGACGGUACCUGAACAGGAAGCCACGGCUAACUACGUG
rnacentral:rRNA from 1 species